AUUAGAGUUUGAUCAUGGCUCAGGAUGAACGCUGGCGGCGUGCCUAAAACAUGCAAGUCGUGCGGCAGCAUGCCCUUCGGGGUGAUGGCGAGCGGCGGACGGCUGAGUAACGCGUGGGAAUCUGCCCCGAAUGAGGGAUAACUGCCCGAAAGGGUGGCUAAUACCGCAUGUGGGUCUUCGGAUUAAAGCUAUUAGCGCUUUGGGAGGAGCCCGCGUUCGAUUAGUAGUUGGUGAGGUAAAGGCUCACCAAGCCGACGAUCGAUAGCUGGUCUGAGAGGAUGUCAGCCAGAUGGAACUGAGACACGGUCCAGACUCCUACGGGAGGCAGCAGUUAGGAAUAUUCCACAAUGGGCGAAAGCCUGAUGGAGCAACGCCGCAUGGAGGAACGAAGGCCUUCGGGUUGUAAACUUCUUUUCUAUGCGAAGGAUAUG
rnacentral:rRNA from 1 species